rnacentral:rRNA from 1 species
AACGAACGCUGGCGGCAGGCUUAACACAUGCAAGUCGAACGCAUCCUUCGGGGUGAGUGGCAGACGGGUGAGUAACGCGUGGGAACGUGCCCUUCAGUUUGGGAUAACCCAGGGAAACUUGGGCUAAUACCGGAUACGACCUAACGUGGAAAGAGUUAUCGCUGAAGGAUCGGCCCGCGGCUGAUUAGCUAGUUGGUGAGGUAAAGGCUCACCAAGGCGACGAGCAGUAGCUGGUUGGCGAGGAUGAUCAGCCACCCUGGGACUGAGACACGGCCGAGACUCCUACGGGAGGCAGCAGUGGGGAAUAUUGGACAACGGGGGCAAGCCUGAUCCAGCCAUGCCGCGUGAGUGAUUAAGGCCUUAGGGUUGUAAAGCUCUUUCGGCGGGGACGAUAAUGACGGUACCCGCAGAAGAAGCCCCGGCUAACUCCGUGCCAGCCGCCCAGUAACAC